AUACUUACCUGGCAGGAGAGAUACCAUGAUCACAAAGGUGAUUUUUCCAGGGCAACCUUCUCCAUUGCACUCCAGAUGUGCUGACCCCUGCGAUUUCCCGAAAUGCAGGAAACUCGACUGCAUAAUUUGUGGUAGUGAGGGACUGAGUUCACACUCUCCCUUG